AACGAACGCUGGCGGCAGGCUUAACACAUGCAAGUCGAACGCAUGCCUUCGGGCAUGAGUGGCAGACGGGUGAGUAACGCGUGGGAACCUACCCCUUGGUACGGGAUAGCUCCGGGAAACUGGAGAUAAUACCGUAUGUGUCCUGAGGGACAAAGAUUCAUCGCCACGGGAUGGGCCCGCGUCGGAUUAGCUAGUUGGUGGGGUAACGGCCUACCAAGGCGACGAUCCGUAGCUGGUCUAAGAGGAUGAUCAGCCACAUUGGGACUGAGACACGGCCCAAACUCCUACGGGAGGCAGCAGUGGGGAAUAUUGGACAAUGGGCGCAAGCCUGAUCCAGCCAUGCCGCGUGAGUGAUGAAGGCCCUAGGGUUGUAAAGCUCUUUCAACGGUGAAGAUAAUGACGGUAACCGGAGAAGAAGCCCCGGCUAACUUCGUG
rnacentral:rRNA from 1 species